rnacentral:lncRNA from 12 species
CAAAAAAUCAGUUGAGGGCUAUUUGGUGAUUUGACAAUAAGUAUAAAAUGCCAUCGGCCCAGCAAUUCUACUCAUCCAUAUACAUGGAACAAGUAAUUACAAGUUCCAUCAGUGAACAGACCGGAACACAGUAAGUAUAAAACGGGUACAUUUAGCCAGGUGGAGGGAGUUAGAGAAGGCUUUGUGGAGAAAGGGACAUUUUAAUUGAAACAUAAAGGAUAUUCAGGAGUUAGGAUGGGAGCGGGAUAGUGGGUGGGGAAUAUUCCGUGUAGGCAAAUUAUGAACAUGAAGGCUCUUUGCGGGGGUGAGGAGGAGGGAAAGGCCUUGCAUGUUUCAGAAAGAGGCCCAGAGCGGCUGGGGCUGGAGCACGGGGCGUGUGACCAAGAGCAGUAGGCGGGAUGAGCCAGGCACGAGGCCUUGAGCAGGUUGGGUCACUCCAGAGGACACUGGGAAGUCGCUGUGGGGGAAGGAAAGCGUGGGGAACCCUCCUGAGAUAUGUUUUGAAAAAUCACCCCAACGACUGCCCUUUGAGUAGACAAGAGCAGAAGGACCAGCGGAGAUGGGGCGGCUACUGCGGAGUCGGAUGUAUUUGGGGAUGCCCAGGGGUUGAGCGUCUGCCUUCAACUCAGGGUGUGACCCUGAGGGGUCGAGUCCCCGUCAGGUUCCCUGCAUGGAGCCUGCUUCUCCCUCUGCCUGGGUCUCUGCUUCUCUCUCUCGUGGAUGAAUAUACAAAAUCUUAAAAAAGUAAAUAAAUAAAAGUAAAGACGUGUUUGUCUAUCUGAG